UUUUUGGUCCUAUUUCUCCUGUUUCUUUUAUUCUCCCAAACAAGGAAACUCUUUAAGAAGUGUUUAUGAAAUUUUGUUUUAUUUUUAUCACCACGUUGGUUUUGGAAAGGGGUCAUAUACCAAAAGAUUAAUAAAGAGUGAUCUCAGGAUUUAGGGAAAUGCAUAUUAAACCAUCAUCUCUCAUAUGUGGUCAGAUAGUUAUUCAGAGGUGUCUAGAAUCUGUAAAAUAUGGGUUAGAGCUGGAUCAAGAUAUUCUAAUUCAAUAAUUUUCUAAAGGAAGCAUGUAUUUGGUAUGGCAUUUUACAGGACAACACCAUAAGCCAAAGUUGAUACAUUGAGAAAGGUAUGAAGGAGAUUGUCUUCAUUAAAAAUGUUACAGUGAAUGUUGCAAGAACCUUGAGAUGACAUACUAGACAUUUUAACACUUGAAUAUGUAGUAAUAUUGUUGAAUACAAGAAUACAUGUGCCUCUCUGGCAUAUAUGUUUAACCCAAAUAUUGUGCAGCAUAUGCUUUAUUUCUUUGUUCUUGAAAUGGAUCCAACUGAUAAAUGGACUCACAUGUGAGAGAUUAUGGUUAUGUAUUAAGGACUGGACCUCUAGUAUUUUGUAUCAGGUCCUGAUUGUUGCAAGGCCUGGUGGUUACAGGUCAUGAUGACAGAAGAUCUGGUGGUUGACGUUCCUAGGACUGAAAGGUCCUUCUGGUAGGUCCUCUUUGUUGCAUAGCCUCUUGGUAGAAAGUCCUUCUUGUAGAAGGUCCUUAUUGUUAAGGUAGAUACAAUUUUAUGGAUAACAACAUCUUUAAUACUGUAAAAAGCGAAGUUUUUGGUAUAGAUCCUUAUACCAUUGUCAAGCAAGACUUCCAUAAAAUUGUGUCUACCUUGUCAUCGGUCAACUUCUAUGUAAUGCCUAUCAAACCAUUUGUCCUUAUUGUUACAAAGCCUGAUGCUUGAAGGCCCUGUGAUAGCAGGUCCUUGUGGUAGAUGGUCCAUCAUAGAAGGUCUUGGUUGUUGCAGGUCCUUGUGGUAGGAGGUCCAUCAUAGAAGGUCUUGGUUGAAGCAGGUCCUUGUGGUAGACAGUCCAUCAUAGAAGGUCUUGGUUGUUGCAGGUCCUUGUGGUAGAUGGUCCAUCAUAGAAGGUCUUGGUUGUUGCAGGUCCUUGUGGUAGAAGGUCCAUCAUAGAAGGUCUUGGUUGUUGCAGGUCCUUGUGGUAGACGGUCCAUCAUAGAAGGUCUUGGUUGUAGCAGGUCCUUGUGGUAGACGGUCCAUCAUAGAAGGUCCUGGUUGUAGCAGGUCCUUGCUGUAGAUGGUCCAUCAUAGAAGGUCCUUGUGGUAAACGGUCCAUCAUAGAAGGUCCAUGUGGUAGACGGUCCAUCAUAGAAGGUCCUGGUUGUAGCAUGUGCUUUAGUCCUAGUGGUAUUAGGUCCAUGUGAACUAGAAUCAUGGUAGAACAGAAGAUGAUAUGCAGAUUAUAAUUUAUGUGUAUAUAUAAAAGAUUUCUUGGAUUUAAAUCAAAAUAUUUAUUGUCCUUCAUUUGUGAAGAAGAGUGAUAGAUGCCAGUAUGAAGCCUGCAGUAAAGCUGUUUCUCCUUAUUUCAAGUUUCUAGGAUCUGGUAGAUAACAAAACACAUUAUUUACCUCUGUCCUAAUAGGGUAGUAGUAGACUUUGCAAAUGGUGAUACCUGCUUCAGUUUUGUAACCACCCCAUAUCUAGAGUUUACAUCAGAUACAAAGUGAUAAAAAUCAAACGUUAGUGUUUUUAGUUUCUUUCAUACAAAACUAUUUGAAGUGAUAAUUUUCAGAGCAAUAUUCCCCAUAUUACAAAGUAUUAGUAAUAUGAAUAAUUUUCAUGAGUACAUGUUAUUAAAACAAUAAGUGUAGGCCAGGCCUCUUCUGAGAGAGUAUGUGUGUUGUAUGGGCUGCAGGCCUCUCCCAAUCGUCUAGCAAUAGACCCACUGUCUGUGGGAUACAGCUGUACAUAUUGUUAACAGAGAUCAUCUUGCCUUACAUCAGUCCGCACUGUCCAAUGUAGUCAGUCACACCACUUUGUUUGAGAAUGUCACAGAAUUUCAGAUUUUUAUCAGUGUCCGUGUUUGUUGUGUAUAAGGAUUGACUUCUUGACACUGUAGGUCUAACAAUGCAGAUGUGUCAGGAAAUCAAGAAGGAAUUCAUAUCAAAUUCAUGCUUUUUCACUUUUUUCGUGAUUUCAGUUUUUUAAAAAAGGAAAUAUACUGAUGGAAAGAAAAUAAGGAACACAUAUAGAAGUAUUGAUAAUUAAUGUUUCAGGUUUGUUUGCAAAAAGCGUUAUAUUAUUAAAAUAUGUCACUCAGUGUCAUAUCAUUUUCAGAUGCAUAGUUACACAAGGUAUCCUCUGUGGUAUGUAGAAAAUGCCAGAGAAUAACCAGUCUCGAUUUUUAUAAAACAGAUUCAAUUGGGAGUAAAAGGCAAAGAAGCGGUGAAAAUUAUAUGAAAGGAUCACAGAAAAUCAAUGAUGAAACCAGAAUUUUCAAACCGUCUGAUUCCUUUCAUAUGAGGACCCUUAGUUCUUUUUAUCAGUAUACAUUGAUAAUUGAUUGCCAUGAUUUUCUUUUUACUCAAACAAUACAAAUUAGGUCAUGUUGAUUUCUCUAACUUGUAAUCUUUUGCAAAGCUCUAAAGACUACUGCUGGAUCUUCAGAAAAUAUGUUUUUCACAUUGACCCCAAUGAACAUUACAAAUUGAUGCUACAUCUUUAAUAGGUCUUAGUCGUACUGGAAUGUUCGAUGAGAUAUGUUUGGAGGAUAGUCUCACAUAACAAGUGAUAAUAUUGUGCAUCUUCCCGAGGCAAGGGAGUUAACUGACUAUAAAAGUCCAGUUUCAACCCUUGUCAAACUAUGCUGGAAUUAUGGAGUUAUAUUCUGGCUGGACUAAGGAGCCCAUGAAUAGUCCAAUCAAAAUCUCGUAAUGAAAUUGACAUCCGGUUCGUAAACUGCCAUGCAGAUUUCAGUCGAUUGCAGGAUGUGCACAGCAUUUGACUGACAACAUAGCAUGAACAGAUAUUUUCCAAAUGUUUUCAUUUUAAUCAAGGUGCUCAUGUGAUAUGAUGCACUUCGCGAACUUAGACCUGUUUUAUUACAAUAGAGAUCUUGACUAUCGAUCAGAUCAUCUUCACUGAGUGACACCAUUUUAUUUGAAGCAAAUGCAAGUGAUAUGAAGGAGGAAUCUGAUUGGUCAAUAGGUGGGACAAACAAGGGAUAUAACACAUAAUAGCCACUGGUGGUGCUAUGAUUGAGCCCAGAAAUUCCAGCCUAGUUCGGCAAGGCUGGAAACCGGACUUUUACAGUCACUUAACUCCCUUGCCUCAGGAAGAUGAUAUUGUGAGACUUUUUCAACUUGUUGACAUCAGCUGUAAGUUUCUACUCAUGGGGGUCUUAGUCAUUGUUGAAUAUUUAUGUUCACAGUAACGAAUAUUCAUCAUCUCAUCUUUGAACAUCCUUCAACAAAAUCCUACAAACUUUGUCUUUGCAUGCUUAAAUGACUUUAUGAUAGAAUAAGUGUAGUCAGUUUAUUUGAUAACUAUGCAUUGUAAAUGUUUGUUGAAUUCUUGAAAUUUUCACCCUGUGGUACAAAUUCACAUGUACUCAUGACUGACUAUAGAGACAGGACUGAAUAUUAUGGGAUGGCAGUCUAUGUGUGGCGAAUAUGUCUGCCAUGUUUGUUAUUUGCCCUGAUUGAGCAUAUGUACUUGUGAUUACAUGCCCUUGUAAGGAUGUCAUAUCAGUGAGCGAUUCCACCUGGUCAUUUGAGGUCAUUUUUGACCUUGGCCUCAGGGUUAUCAAGGUCAUGUUUGCAUUCUAAUCUACUUUUUCAUCUUGUAAAUACUUUCUUAGUACACAGUUCCACUUGUGUGAGGUUUUGAUUUUUCUUGGCACUACAAAUUCAGACUUGUGUAUCAGCAUUGUUUUCAAAGCAGCAGAAUGCAUUUGUGCUUUAAAUUUCUUUCAAAGGUAAACUGUUUGCCUGGAUUAUGAUUUGUGACAAGAGGUGAAACACAAUCUGAACUUGUAUGCCUUCAUGCUAUUAAAGGGAGAUAAUCCAACAUGUUUGCUCCUAUCUUCAAAUCAUAUCUACUUCAUAAAUUCCUUUCCUAAAUGAUUGCCUCAAAUGUCUUUGCACACAAAGAUUUACAAAGAACUAAAAUUUACUUAUGUGAGUUGUCUCCCUUUAUGGUAAUUGAUGACCUUGACCUGUUGACCUCGAUGUAGUUUCUACCAUGUCCAGUCUGCUAGUGUACCAGAUGAUUGGAAUAUAUGUGAGUACCUAGUUGUGUACAUAGUCAGGAUGUGUAAACUUUGAAUGUUUUUGUCUUAUAUGACAUGGUAAGAUAUUUUUGUAAAAAAAAAGAUCAGGAAUAAAAUUUUUGUUUCA
rnacentral:lncRNA from 1 species